CCUGACUGAGCCCAUACUUCCAAGAAAAGCCUCUAGUUAGACCUGCGUGACCGUACCGCAAACCGACACAGGUGGAUGGGUAGAGAAUACCAAGGGGAUCGGGAGAAUCUCUGUUAAGGAAUUAGGCAAAUUAGAUCCGUAACUUCGGGAAAAGGAUCGCCCCAUUAGCGUGACGACGACAAGCUUGUCUGAGCGUGAAGGGGCCGCAGAGAAAUGGCUCUAGCGACUGGUUACCAGAACCACAGGUCUGUGCUAAGUCGAAAGACGACGUAUACGGGCUGACGCCUGCCCAGUGCCGGAAGGUUAAGGGGAGCGGUGCAAGCUGCGAACUGAAGCCCCGGUGAACGGCGGCCGUAACUAUAACGGUCCUAAGGUAGCGAAAUUCCUUGUCGGGUAAGUUCCGACCCGCACGAAUGGCGUAACGACUGGAGCACUGUCUCAACAGAGAACCCGGUGAAACUGAAUUAGGAGUGAAGAUGCUUCUUACCCGCAGCUGGACAAAAAGACCCCGUGGAGCUUUACUGUAGCUUGACAUUGGGUUAGAACUUAGGUUGUGUAGGAUAGGUGGGAGGCUGUGAAGCUGGGCCGCCAGGCUCGGUGGAGUCGUCGGUGAAAUACCACUCUGCUUAAGUUUUGGCUCUAACCUUUGCCGUAAUCCGGUGAGGAAACAGUGUCAGGUGGGCAGUUUGACUGGGGCGGUCGCCUCCUAAAGAGUAACGGAGGCGCGCAAAGGUUCCCUCAGGCUGAAUGGAAACCAGUCGUAGAGUGCAAACGCAUAAGGGAGCUUGACUGCGAGACGGACAGGUCGAGCAGAGACGAAAGUCGGCGUUAGUGAUCCUAUGGCACCGAGUGGAAGGGCCAUGGCUCAACGGAUAAAAGCUACCCCGGGGAUAACAGGCUAGUCUUCCCCAAGAGUUCACAUCGACGGGAAGGAUCGGCACCUCGAUGUCGGCUCGUCACAUCCUGGGGCUGGAGUAGGUCCCAAGGGUUGGGCUGUUCGCCCAUUAAAGUGGUACGCGAGCUGGGUUCAGACCGUCGUGAGACAGGUCGGUCUCUAUCCGCUGUGGGCGUAAGGGAAUUGAGGAGAGCUGCCCCUAGUACGAGAGGACCGGGGUGGACGGAUCUCUGGUGUGCCAGUUGUGCUGCCAAGUGCAUGGCUGGGUAGCUAAGUCCGGAAUGGAUAACCGCUGAAAGCAUCUAAGUGGGAAGCCAGCUCCAAGAUAAGUUCCCUCACAGGGUUAACCUGGUAAGUGCGCAGGAAGACCACCUGCUUGAUAGGCGGCAAGUGUACAGGCUGAGAGGCCUUUAGCUAAGCCGUACUAAUGCACGAGGGCUUAAAACA
rnacentral:rRNA from 1 species